GGGAGUAAAAGUCGUAACAAGGUUUCCGUAGGUGAACCUGCGGAAGGAUCAUUAAUGAGUUGUCAUGGGGUUCGAUGCUGGCAGCCAGUUUUUGGAUGCAUGUGCUUGCCCUAACAAUCAUCUUCUUCCAAACACCUGUGCACAUUUUUGAGGGAGUCUUGAGUUGGUUGCCGCUCUUGGGUGAUUUUCUCACAUUCCCUUAAGUCAUUAUACGCUAUUAACAGUGUUGAACGUGCUCUGUGCCGCAAGGCCAUUAAUAUAAUACAACUUUUAACAACGGAUCUCUUGGCUCUC
rnacentral:misc_RNA from 1 species